ACGGGAGGCAGCAGUGGGGAAUAUUGGUCAAUAGGGGCAACCCUGAACCAGCGACGCCGCGUGAGUGAAGAAGUAUUUCGGUAUGUAAAGCUCUAUCAGCAGGGAAGAUAAUGACGGUACCUGACUAAGAAGCACCGGCUAAAUACGUGCCAGCAGCCGCGGUAAUACGUAUGGUGCAAGCGUUAUCCGGAUUUACUGGGUGUAAAGGGAGCGCAGACGGCAUGGCAAGCCAGAUGUGAAAGGUGGGGGCUCAACCCCCAAGCUGCAUUUGGAACUGUCAAGCUAGAGUAUCGGAGAGGUAAGUGGAAUUCCUAGUGUAGCGGUGAAAUGCGUAGAUAUUAGGAGGAACACCAGUGGCGAAGGCGGCUUACUGGACGAUAACUGACGUUGAGGCUCGAAAGCGUGGGGAGCAAACAGGAUUAGAUACCCUGGUA
rnacentral:rRNA from 1 species